AUGGCUGUCGUCAGCUCGUGUCGUGAGAUGUUGGGUUAAGUCCCGCAACGAGCGCAACCCACGUCUUUAGUUGCCAGCAUUUAGUUGGGCACUCUAGAGAGACCGCCGGUGAUAAACCGGAGGAAGGUGUGGAUGACGUCAAGUCAUCAUGCCCCUUACAUCCUGGGCUACACACGUACUACAAUGCUACGGACAAAGGGCAGCAAACUCGCGAGAGCUAGCAAAUCCCAUAAACCGUGGCUCAGUUCAGAUCGUAGGCUGCAACUCGCCUACGUGAAGGAGUAAUCGCUAGUAAUCGCAGGUCAGCAUACUGCGGUGAAUACGUUCCCGGGCCUUGUACACACCGCCCGUCACACCAUGGAAGUUGGCCAUGCCCGAAGUCGUUACUCCAACCCGUAAGGGAGGAGGACGCCGAAGGUGGGGCUGAUGACUGGGGUGAAGUCGUAACAAGGUAGCCGUACCGGAAGGUGCGGCUGGAUCACCUCCUAAC
rnacentral:rRNA from 1 species